rnacentral:rRNA from 1 species
UUUCGGCUAGGGGGUCAUCCCGACUUACCAACCCGAUGCAAACUACGAAUACCGAAGAAUGUUAUCACGGGAGACACACGGCGGGUGCUAACGUCCGUCGUGAAGAGGGAAACAACCCAGACCGCCAGCUAAGGUCCCAAAGUCAUGGUUAAGUGGGAAACGAUGUGGGAAGGCACAGACAGCCAGGAUGUUGGCUUAGAAGCAGCCAUCAUUUAAAGAAAGCGUAAUAGCUCACUGGUCGAGUCGGCCUGCGCGGAAGAUGUAACGGGGCUAAACCAUGCACCGAAGCUGCGGCAGCGACACUAUGUGUUGUUGGGUAGGGGAGCG